rnacentral:rRNA from 1 species
UACAGGGGGGGCAAGCGUUGUUCGGAAUUACUGGGCGUAAAGGGUCUGUAGGUGGCCAACUAAGUCAGACGUGAAAUCCCUCAGCUUAACUGGGGAACUGCGUCUGAUACUGGAUGGCUCGAGUGUGGGAGAGGAAUGCGGAAUUCCAGGUGUAGCGGUGAAAUGCGUAGAUAUCUGGAGGAACACCGGUGGCGAAGGCGGCAUUCUGGACCAUAACUGACACUGAGGAGCGAAAGCCAGGGGAGCAAACGGG